UGAGCAAUCUGCCCUUCACAUCGGAAUAACCAUUGGAAACGGUGGCUAAUACCGAAUAUGACUUCGGAUCGCAUGAUCUGAAGUGGAAAGCUCCGGCGGUGAAGGAUGAGCUCGCGGCCUAUCAGCUUGUUGGUGAGGUAAUAGCUCACCAAGGCGAUGACGGGUAGCCGGCCUGAGAGGGUGACCGGCCACACUGGGACUGAGACACGGCCCAGACUCCG
rnacentral:rRNA from 1 species